rnacentral:lncRNA from 1 species
CUAGAACUCUCAAGUUCCCUGGAAUCCAUGCAGUGCUGUUCUAAAGAAGAUUUUUGAAAAUGUGGAGAGGAAAAUGAAACUAAUUUGGGAACAAACUAAGCACAGGCUCCGAAGCUUACCUCAGGGACUACGGGACAACAGUGGAACAUUUGAGAAGUUCUGUUCUGAUGCAUAACUUGCUGGACAUCCUGGAAGAUACCCUGGAAUUACUGUUAUAUGUCUCACCAAUGUGUGAAAACAAAGUGCCAAAAAAGAAACUUCUUAAAUUAGACAAGAAUGGGCAAGAAUUUUAUAUCAAGAAAAAGGCAGCAGACUCUGUCAUCUCCUAUAAAAUGAAUAAGUGGUAGGUAAGUACAAUUUCACAUGUGUCUACUGAUAUUAAUAAUGUCCAGUUGAAUUGAAAUACAUAGACAAGUCUGAGGGAAGGGCACAUUUUUAUGACUCUGAAUGGCCUUUAAGGUAUCAUAUGUACUUUGUAUGUCUGAUAGAGAUUAACUUUCUGUGCGGAAGUGAUGGUAGAUUUCACUUAAAAGAAACAGUAGUCAAAAAUAAAUAAACAUAUAGAAAUGGAGGCA